rfam:Planctomycetes bacterium RIFCSPLOWO2_12_FTLL_40_19 rifcsplowo2_12_scaffold_4553, whole genome shotgun sequence.
CGCGGGGUAGAGCAGCUUGGUAGCUCGUCGGGCUCAUAACCCGGAGGUCGCAGGUUCAAAUCCUGUCCCCGCUA